CGGGGUAAAGGCCCACCAAGACUAUGAUCUGUAGGGGCCUUGAGAGAGGUAGCCCCGAGAAGGGUACUGAGGUACUGACCCUAGCCCUACGGGGUGCAGCAGGCGCGAAAACUUUACAAUGCACUAACGUGUGAUAAGGGGAUUCUAAGUGCUCAUACACAGUAUGGGCUUUUUUCAAGACUAAAUAUCUUGAAGAAUAAGUGGUGGGUAAGACCGGUGCCAGCCGCCGCGGUAACACCGGCGCCACGAGUGGGAGUCGAUUUUAUUGGGCCUAAAGCGUCCGUAGUCGGUUAGAUGAAUUUCUUGUGAAAUCAUUGGGCUUAACCUAAUGGCGUGCAGGAAACACUGUCAAACUUGGGACCGGGAGGAGCGUGAGGUAUUCCUUGGGGAGCGGUAAAAUGUUAUAAUCCUUGGAGGACCACCUGUGGCGAAGGCGUCACACUAGAACGGAUCCGACGAUGAGGGACGAAAGCUAGGGGAGCGAUCCGGAUUAGAUACCCGAGUAGUCCUAGCCGUAAACUCUGCGAGUUAGGUGUUGCACAUUCCUAGAGAAUGUGCAGUAUCGUAGUGAAGACGUUAAACUCGCCGCCUGGGGAGUACGGUCGCAAGGCUGAAACUUAAAGGAAUUGGCGGGGGAG
rnacentral:rRNA from 1 species